rnacentral:rRNA from 1 species
UGAGGAAUUUUGCGCAAUGGGAGCAAUCCUGACGCAGCAACGCCGCGUGGGUGAUGAAGGCCUUCGGGUCGUAAAGCCCUGUCAGGUGGGAAGAAUGUCCCGGGACUGAACAGGUUCCGGGAGUGACGGUACCACCAGAGGAAGCACCGGCUAACUCCGUGCCAGCAGCCGCGGUAAUACGGAGGGUGCAAGCGUUAUUCGGAAUUACUGGGCGUAAAGCGCGUGUAGGCGGUCCCGCAAGUCUGAUGUGAAAGCCCCGGGCUUAACCCGGGAAGUGCAGUGGAAACUGUGGGACUUGAGUACGGGAGAGGAUGGGGGAAUGCCCGGUGUAGAGGUGAAAUUCGUAGAGAUCGGGAGGAAUAUCAGUGGCGAAGGCGCCCAUCUGGACGGUAACUGACGCUGAGACGCGAAAGCGUGGGGAGCAAACA